CAAGAUUGGAGAGUUUGGGUGAUAGUUGCUAGUAUAUAUGUUGAGGGAGAAUUUAUUGCUAGUGUAUAUUUCUGGAUUUAGUUGUGUAAUGUUGCUGGUGUAUAAUUUGAUGGAGAAUUUGUAGCUACUGGUUAUUUUGAGGAAAAAUAAAUUGUAAAACUCUCUCCCCUUUGUGUUUGUUGAGUUGUUGGUUUGGAAUUAUAUUUGAGAUUGUGUUUUUUCUGGGAAAAAUGGUCAGCCGACCUUGAUUAGAGGAAGAGGGAGAUGGUGGGUAGGUUAGGGAGAUGGUGAUAGGUGAUACAAAGGUAGAUGGUGAGGAUUUUUUUUAAAAAUAAUUUUUAACAUGCCAG
rnacentral:misc_RNA from 1 species